GAUGAACGCUGGCGGCGUGCCUAAUACAUGCAAGUCGAGCGAACAGAUGAGGAGCUUGCUCCUCUGACGUUAGCGGCGGACGGGUGAGUAACACGUGGAUAACCUACCUAUAAGACUGGGAUAACUUCGGGAAACCGGAGCUAAUACCGGAUAAUAUAUUGAACCGCAUGGUUCAAUAGUGAAAGACGGUUUUGCUGUCACUUAUAGAUGGAUCCGCGCCGCAUUAGCUAGUUGGUAAGGUAACGGCUUACCAAGGCAACGAUGCGUAGCCGACCUGAGAGGGUGAUCGGCCACCCUGGAACUGAGACACGGUCCAGACUCCUACGGGAGGCAGCAGUAGGGAAUCUUCCGCAAUGGGCGAAAGCCUGACGGAGCAACGCCGCGUGAGUGAUGAAGGUCUUCGGAUCGUAAAACUCUGUUAUUGGGGAAGAACAAAUGUGUAAGUAACUAUGCACGUCUUGACGGUACCUAAUCAGAAAGCCACGGCUAACUACGUG
rnacentral:rRNA from 1 species